rnacentral:rRNA from 1 species
AUUGAACGCUGGCGGCAUGCCUUACACAUGCAAGUCGAACGGUAACGCGGGGCAACCUGGCGACGAGUGGCGAACGGGUGAGUAAUGUAUCGGAACGUGCCCAGUUGUGGGGGAUAACUGCUCGAAAGAGCAGCUAAUACCGCAUACGACCUGAGGGUGAAAGCGGGGGAUCGCAAGACCUCGCGCAAUUGGAGCGGCCGAUAUCAGAUUAGGUAGUUGGUGGGGUAAAGGCUCACCAAGCCGACGAUCUGUAGCUGGUCUGAGAGGACGACCAGCCACACUGGGACUGAGACACGGCCCAGACGCCUACGGGAGGCAGCAGUGGGGAAUUUUGGACAAUGGACGCAAGUCUGAUCCGGCCAUGCCGCGUGCGGGAAGAAGGCCUUCGGGUUGUAAACCGCUUUUGUCAGGGAAGAAACGCUCUGGGUUAAUACCUCGGGGUAAUGACGGUACCUGAAGAAUAAGCACCGGCUAACUACGUGCCAGCCGCCGCCGUAA